UUUGGGCACCCCUGAUUUACAUCUACGGAUUCACCCUAUUAAAAAGUUUUUUACGGAAUUAACAUAAGACUUUCAGACCAUAUUGCGAAAUUAGGUCAAUAUCGAAGACAUUUCUAAUAAAUUGAAUUACCCUAAUUAAAACCAGUAAAAUAAUUCCCUUCUGCAGUAACUCCGACAAAUUCCAGCAUAUACCUUGAAAAGUUUAUACCCUUGCCACUUGUCAAGUUGUACCUGGCAACACGACAAACAUUUCAAAGAGCCACAAUGAAGUGAAAUAAAACAGUCUAUCUCGCUCACAUCUUUGAGAAAAGACAUCUAAACAAGCGAGAUGCAUUUUUUUAGCCUGGGGAUACGCCCAAGUGAAGUAUUUGCGGUGAAAUCGUUUGGUAAAAAUGUGUCGGACCAUCAAAGUGCUGUAAAGAUGUUUAUCCGCUUCCUGCAGCAGGGCAAGCUGGUCAACGUAGACAG